AGGUCAACUUCAACUGACAUAGAGGAUUAUUAAAGACAACAGAAUUCUCUCUGAGUUGAAUGAAAGAGAGAAAGAGAGAGAUGAUGGCAAUACUGCUCAUGUCUCAGUCCAUGAGUGCCAGUCCUGCAUGGCUGGUGCUUCAGUCUCUACAACCUGGAAAGACCCUGAGCCAGUGUGACUCCACUAUGGAAAGAUACACACUGGAACAACCUGUCGCAGCUGAGCUGUCUCCAUGGAUGAAUCCAGGGCAGGGAAGACCCAGAACUUCUGUGCCUCCUCCAUGGACAGAUCCAGUGUUCAGAAGACCAAGAGCCCUGGCACCUCCUCUGUGGAUGGAUCCAGUGCCAGAAUGAUCCAGAACUGUGAGCCUCCUCUUUGAUGGAUCCUCCCGGUGCAGUGAGUAGAGACACUGCUUUAUGAGGAGCACCAGAUCUGUGAACUUGUGCAUCCCCACCUACGCCCUACCCUCCAAUCCACUCCUGAAAGAUAUCCCCCUGCUAUGAGCUUGCAUAAGAUGCGUGCUUUUUUCAUUUAAAAUGUAUUUGUUCA